CCGAGACCCGGACGAACGGACGAUCGCGAACGCGUUACAUCCCCACAACCCACUCCUCCGUCCCGUGCCGCCGCUCCUCGCGGCGCGGCGGGGCGGGACGGAGGGAACGAAACCCCGGCGCGUUGGGCGCCAAGGAACACUUUUUGGAAGCGCCGUCGCGGCCUCCUCCGCCUCCCCAUCCGUAACGGGACGGGGAGGGAGGAGGGGGGACGCGGGCGCGGAUAUAGAUAUCGUAUUCUGUACGACUCUCGGCAACGGAUAUCUAGGCUCUCGCAUCGAUGAAGAACGUAGCGAAAUGCGAUACUUGGUGUGAAUUGCAGAAUCCCGUGAACCAUCGAGUCUUUGAACGCAAGUUGCGCCCGAGGCCAUCCGGUCGAGGGCACGCCUGCCUGGGCGUCACGCCUCCCGUCGCUCCCCACAGCCGUGCGGAUGCGGAGAUUGGCCCACCGUGCCCCGUGCGCGGCGGGUCGAAGUGCGGGCCGUCGUCGGGCCGGGCGCGGCGAAUGGUGGACGAAUACAUCGUUGUUUGUGCCUGCUCCCCGUGUCCCUGCCCCCAGCAACGCGACGUGCCGUCGUCGGACCCCCCACCAAGGCGAGUACUUCUUCUCAUCCCUUCCGCUCUCGGACGGACGGACGGACGGACGGGAAGAAGGAAGGAAUCGUCCUCGGAACG
rnacentral:misc_RNA from 1 species